GAGGAGAAGUGUCAUACCCUUAGAUCAAGAUGUGCAAGUGUGUGGUAUAUGGUAUAAACAACUCCGUUGGUUGAUAUGAUCUCAUCAAGUAUUUCUAGACAUGGCUAUCAUAACUCUUUUAUUUUCUUGUGAGCCUUCAUGUGCUCAUUUUUUUGUAUACUUAGGACCUUCAUGUGUCCUAUAUUUUUUCAGGUGGGUAUUUUUAUACUCCUAAUUCUACGGCGGG
rnacentral:lncRNA from 1 species